rnacentral:misc_RNA from 1 species
AUAGUGAAAUCUUCAAAGAGGUGAUUAUAUUUUACCAUUUCAAGCACCAGAAGAACUAUUGUGUGUGUGUGUGUGUGUAUAAGAUCAUGUUUACAUUUGAGGAUGCGUAUGUUUCAUUUAGUUUAUGGGGAAUUGGAAUUUACUCUAUAUUUGUCAAUUGGAUUAAGGAAAUAUUUGUCCCUCAUAUCCCAGGUCAUGUAGGCUCAACGGCUGUGAUAAUGUUUCUUCAUUUGCAGUAUAGGCUUUGCAGUAAAUGAGUUUCUCAACAUCAUCAUGGUGGAAGGAAAACCUGUGGCUUGACAUGGAAUUAAGUGUGAUUACAAUAACUUAAUCUGAUGAAUUUAGAAUUUAGAUUAACCAAUGAGUUGCUUAGUACUCACUAAGGCAAGCCAAGCAGUCUAGGGUUUUUUUUUUGGGGGGCAAU